rnacentral:rRNA from 1 species
UUGCGCUAAUGCGCGAAACCUGACGCAGCGACGCCGCGUGGGGGAUGAAGGCCCUCGGGUUGUAAACCCCUUUCGGCAGGGACGAAGCGAGAGUGACGGUACCUGCAGAAGAAGUCCCGGCUAACUACGUGCCAGCAGCCGCGGUAACACGUAGGGGACGAGCGUUGUCCAGAUUCAUUGGGCGUAAAGCGCGCGUAGGCGGCUCGGAAAGUCGGUCGUGAAAUGCCGGGGCUCAACCCCGGGACUGCGUCCGAUACUCCCGAGCUGGAGGCAGGUAGGGGAGAUCGGAAUUCCUGGUGUAGCGGUGAAAUGCGCAGAUAUCAGGAGGAACACCGGUGGCGAAGGCGGAUCUCUGGACCUUGCCUGACGCUGAGGCGCGAAAGCUAGGGGAGCGAACAGGAUUAGAUACCCUGGUAGUCCUAGCCGUAAACGUUGGGUGCUAGGUGUGGGCGGAUAUCGACCCCGUCCGUGCCGAAGCUAACGCAUUAAGCACCCCGCCUGGGGAGUACGGCCGCAAGGCUAAAACUCAAAGGAAUUGACGGGGGCCCGCACAAGCGGCGGAGCAUGCGGCUUAAUUCGAUGCAACGCGAAGAACCUUACCUGGGCUUGACAUGCAGGGCAAAGCCGGUGAAAGCCGGCGCUCUACGGAGCCUGCACAGGUGGUGCAUGGCUGUCGUCAGCUCGUGCCGUGAGGUGUUGCCUUAAGUGGCGCAACGAGCGCAACCCUUGUCCCUAGUUGCCAGCGGGUCAUGCCGGGAACUCUAGGGAGACUGCCGGUGCCAAACCGGAGGAAGGUGGGGAUGACGUCAAGUCAUCAUGCCCCUUAUGUCCAGGGCUGCACGCAUGCUACAAUGCGCGGUACAAAGGGCUGCAAACCCGCAAGGGGGAGCGAAUCCCAAAAAGCCGCGCUCAGUUCGGAUCGGGUCUGCAACCCGACCCCGUGAAGUCGGAGUCGCU